rnacentral:lncRNA from 1 species
CACAGUUAUGUUUUCCAGAAUAUAAACCAGAGACAACUUCUAUAUGACACCAAGCUCAACAUCAGAGCCAAAUUAUUCUCCUUCAAAAAUAUGCACUCUUCAACAUGACUAUGAGUAUUGGAUAAUCCAAGGAGUAUGAUACCUAAGAAAUUAGAAGACAUAGCUAUUAAGGCAUCAUGAAGACUGAGAAACUAUGGUGGAAGCCUGGAUUGAGGCAAAUAAAGAGCCCUUGCA